AGCGCCCCAUCUCCCCUCCUCUCGCUUUUCCACUUUCCCGUCACCUCCGCCAUCGCCUCCUCCCCUCUCCUCUCUCUCUCCCGUCUCCUCCCUCUCAACCCUAGCCGCCACCACCCACCCUCUACUGCUCCACCAUGCACCCACCUCCCCUCUGGAUCAGGUGCAGGCCGGCCGAUGCACGCAGGCGGCGGCGCUCCACUCGAGGGCAAAGGAAGGCAACGACGGCGGUGGCCGCCGUGGACACGCGCGGCUAUGACGUACCCCGCCACCAGGAGGCCGCCAUGGAGGCCCGCCCCGAGCUCGGCUCGCCGCUCCUCCGGUGGAUCCAGGUCGGGCGGAUCCAACGAAGGAGCCCACCCAUGGCACCGGUGGCUCUGGAGAUGAGGGCUGCACAGAGGAAGAGGAGCAGCAGCAGCUUGAGGAGGAGGCCACAGUCGUCUUGCCGCCGCCGAGCCGCCAAGCAGUGAGCGAGAGAUACAACGAUGGCGAGGUCCCCUGCAUCGAUGAGUAGUCGCAGGGAGUCGUCGCCAAGUGCUCCGUCCGCGUCGCUGGAAACAUGCUGCAUGCUCGAGAAUGCACGAGUGCCACCACGCGUCGCCCACACCCCUCCUCCGCUCGCUCUCGUCUCCGUCAGCUGAUGUUCACUGCACUAAAGGGAGAGGACAAGAGUAAGAGAGCAAGAACAAUAGAUGAUUCGGUUAUUUGUGAAACUGAUGGCUCUUGUGAGGAGCAAGGAUAGAGAAGGCUAUGAACCAAUGAGAUAAGUUUUAUUUCCAGUUUUUCAAUUAAGAAGUACUGGAGGAUAUGCCAUAUGUUUAGGUGCUAAUAUUUACAUAUGGUGUACGUAAUAAGUUGUCUUGCUGGCCCUUUAUGUGUAUCGUUUGAAAAAACUACAGCAGAUGAACAUCAUCUUUAUCCAAAUAUCUUCAGAUAUAACUGACAUCCCAGCAGCGCGUGGGAGCCGAUGUCUUCGGCCAGAGCUGGGUCUCCUUGCCGGCGACCUUGCCAUCACCAGCCUAUCUGCAGUUUUGCAGGGAUGGACAUAUGGAUUGAAUGGUACCCUCCUGAAAUCUACACAGAUGUCAGAUAUGAGAAAGAAGAAAUAGGGCAAAGGAAAUUAGAUCGGAGAAAGAAGAGAUGAAGAACAAUUUUAAUUGAAGAGUUGAAGAAGACUAAGCACGAGUCCCCCUAAAGUGCUUGACCACCGGCCGGUUGCAGUGGAUGUCAGCAUCACCUAGCUGUGGCCAUCCUGGGCGCCGAGAGAAUUAGCUGAAAAUCUUGCUGAGAUCCAGGUCACGGGUCAUUCCCAUUCAGGUGGCUAUGAAACUUGUUCCUAACGAAGAUAAAUUUAUGGAGGUGGCUAGGGAACAGGAGGAGCAAGUUUAGCCUGGCAGGUGCUUCUCAGGUUCAAUGGUUUCCAACAAGGGAGCGAUAUUCAUGCUCUGCAUCAAGGUCGUAGUGCUUUCUUCAUGGGUUCGGCCUUUGCCAUUAAGAUGCAUGAUGCUCUGACAAGUAGAAGCAUCAGGACUACAGACAGAUAGAAGAAGCUUUUAUCAAUGUCUCCCCUUUCUGACAAUUGAGAGAAUUUCUAUGCAAGAUAAAUUUAACUCUGUUCUUGAUCAUGAAUCUUUACGUGUCUGUGCUCAACUGAAUCGUGUUUGCUUGGUGUGAUCUCUCCAAGAACAAGAAUCUUGAUGAGCAAGAAGUAGUAUAACUGGCGGGAAAUGCUAGAGCUUUUUGGU